rnacentral:lncRNA from 1 species
AGGAGUACUCUUCUAUGGUAUGGGUCAUGUCCGUCUUGUUAAAGACAAAGCAACGAUAUGAGGGAUCCCAAAACUGGACAAUGGCUCGGAGCAUCUGGUCAUCGACAGGUACAUAUAGGAGCCAUGCAAUGUGUCCAUACUUGUUCUGAAAAUUGUCUCGGUGAGCACGUCUCCAUUGUUCUCAAAUUCCUAUCAUCUCUGUAAAGUCAUUCUGCUGAAGGUCCAAGUGAACUCUCUCGGGUAAAGUUGAGAUAUGUCCUUGGGUCAAACAAUCUCCUUUUUCUUGUUGAAUCUGCCUCAUCUGUAACUCUAUCUCAUAGUCAUUUCUGUAUAUGUUGAGCGGGCCUGCUGAUGACGACGCCAUGGAUGUAACCGGGAUCUCUUAGGUUGGAUGUUGUGUAGCCAAUAUUUCUCCUAUAUGCAAUUACGAUGUAUGCAA